rnacentral:rRNA from 1 species
CACGUAGUUAGCCGGUGCUUCUUCUCCAGGUACCGUCACUUACGCUUCGUCCCUAGCGAAAGGAGUUUACAACCCGAAGGCCUUCAUCCCCCACGCGGCGUCGCUGCAUCAGGCUUGCGCCCAUUGUGCAAUAUUCCCCACUGCUGCCUCCCGUAGGAGUCUGGGCCGUAUCUCAGUCCCAAUGUGGCCGUACACCCUCUCAGGCCGGCUACCCGUCGACGCCUUGGUAGGCCAUUACCCCACCAACAAGCUGAUAGGCCGCGAGCUCAUCCCAUACCGCAAAAGCUUUCCACAACAAUAUCCAAAAAGUUGUCCUAUCCGGUAUUAGACCCAGUUUCCCAAGCUUAUCCCGAAGUACAGGGCAGAUCACCCACGUGUUACUCACCCGUUCGCCACUCGAGUACCAGUGCAAGCACUGGCCUUUCCGUUCGACUUGCAUGUGUUAAGCACGCCGCCAGCGUUCAUCCUGAGCCAGGAUCAAACUCU